UCUGCACCUGUGUCCAUCUUCCCUGCAGCAGAACAGAGCAACAGAGCAAGUGGCACCAGAGAGACCACCGACGGAGAGAACUUUAGGAAGAGCGAGGAUUGGCUCUGACCAGUGCUUAUCAGCAGGCACACAGGUAGUUGAAAGCAAAUCCCAGAUAUCAGGUGACUUCAUGUGGAAUGACUUCAGUAAGUACCUGUCACUAACUGGCCAUGCCAGGAUCACACCUGAGGAAAUGAACAGUAAUCCCAUGGCACUGGGCGGGUGUUCUGCAUAGAUUAAUCUAAUUGAAUCCACGCAACAGCUCCACGGAACAGUUGUCAAGGCUGACCCAGAACCUAAGGGAGACAGACCAGAGGGAUAAAUCCAGGGUCCUCCAGUGAUUCGUGUGCACAUUGAAGUUCAAGAGGCUCUGCUCCAGAUGCUAUCAUUAUUCUCCUAAUUUUAUGGUUGAGGAAGCUGAGCCUCUGAUGGUGAAGAAGAUGGCGAGGCAUUGGCUGGAGGGGAGAGUUCAGGGUCUCGAUCUGUCACCCAGGUUGGAGUGCAGUGGCACGAUCACAGCUCACUGUAACCUUGAAUUCCUGGGCUCAAGUGAUCAUCUGGCUUCAGCCUCCCAAACUGCUGGGACUACAGGUGUGAGCCACCAUGCCUGGCCAGAGCUUUUUUUCAGACAUCUUCUAUCUACUUUUACUAGAGAUAGAAAUGAGGUGUGGGGAGGUAAAAGGAAGUGACCUGUCCCACAGUGAAUCUGCAGAAGAGCCAGUGAAGACCAGGUGGAUGAAGAUGAGGCUGGGGCCGUGCCCAUGGGGAGAUGUUGGACGAUGCUUGAGUGCAAGAUGGCAACAGGCCGGGAGAGGCCCAGAAGAGAACUCACCACGCCGUGGGGGCGAGCAGCUGGGGGGACCGCAGCACGUGCAUCCCCCAAAGGCCUCCAGUUUGUUUGUAAAGGCUCAGGCAGGAAUCUGCCCUCGUGAUCCUGAGGCCUCAUGUUUCAGGGCUCAAAGCUGGCCCUGGGGACAGGAGGUGGCAACUGGUGUCUGACCCCCUAAACCUGGUGCCUCUACUGAUCAACAGGCCAGAUAAGGCACAGGUCACCCCCUGACCUUAGGGCCUUGAGGCCCAGGGCAGGGAGCGGGUGGUGGUGCUGCAGUUAGAGGAUCCCAUUCUCAGGACAGCAAACCCUCGAAAGAACUUCUCACGCACUAUUUUCCAAGCUUUAGUCACUUGCGUUCUGCUUUCAUAAUGUUGGCCAUUUCUAAGUUCCUUUGUAUUGUUAAACUUAAAAUAAGCUGCAUGUACCUUAAGUGCACAGUUUCAUGAGUUUUCACUUGCGUAUUCACCCGUGCAGUCUGCCCCGUCACGAUACGAAAUAUUUUCAGCACCCAGAAGCCUCCCGCAUAGCCCCUCCCACUCAGUGCCCCCCAAAAGUAACCAUAGAUUAGUUUUAUGUGUUUGAACUUCCCAUAAAUUGACUCAUCCAGAAGGUCCUCUUCUUUAUCUUGCUUCCCUCACUCAACAUCGUAUCUGUGAGCUUCACCCAUGUUGUUGGGCAAGGCAAUAGUUUUUCCUCAUUCAUGCUGCCUAGUACUCAGUGGUAUGGGUACACCACAAUGUAUUUAUCCAUUCUGCUGUUGGUAGGCAUUUGAAUUAUUUCUGGUUUGAGGCUAUUAAAAACAGUGCCACCGUGGACAGUCCUGUUCAUGUAUUUUGGUUGACACGUGACCACAUUUCUGUUGGGAAUACAUUUUGAUGAAUGUAUAAUUUCAUGAGUCCACCAUUAUAAUAUCACACAGAAUAGUUUCACUGCCUUAAAAAUCCCCUGUUCUUCCCUCUCCCCAUCUCUCCAAACCCCUAGCCACUACUGAUCUUUUUACUAUCUCAAUAGUUUUGCUUUUUGCAAAAUGCCAUAUAAUUGGAAUAUAGCAUGUGGUCUUUUAGACUGGCUUCUUUCACUUAACAAUAUCAUCUUAGUUUGCCUACCAUGCCCUACCAUGUCCUCUCUACCCUAUCCUGCAUGUCCUCUCAUAGCUUGAUAGCUCCUUUCUUUUUAACACCAAAUAAUAUUCCAUUGUGUGGACUUACAACAGUUUGUUUAUCCAUUCACCUAUUGAAGGGCAUCUUGUCUAGCUCCAGGUUUUGGCAAUUAUGAAUAAAGCUGCUAUAAACAUU